rnacentral:rRNA from 1 species
AAAGGGAUCUCGUAGGUGACCUGCGGAGGGAUCAUUACACAAAUAUGAAGGCGGGCUGGAACCUCUCGGGGUUACAGCCUUGCUGAAUUAUUCACCCUUGUCUUUUGCGUACUUCUUGUUUCCUUGGUGGGUUCGCCCACCACUAGGACAAACAUAAACCUUUUGUAAUUGCAAUCAGCGUCAGUAACAAAUUAAUAAUUACAACUUUCAACAACGGAUCUCUUGGUUCUGGCAUCGAUGAAGAACGCAGCGAAAUGCGAUAAGUAGUGUGAAUUGCAGAAUUCAGUGAAUCAUCGAAUCUUUGAACGCACAUUGCGCCCUUUGGUAUUCCAAAGGGCAUGCCUGUUCGAGCGUCAUUUGUACCCUCAAGCUUUGCUUGGUGUUGGGCGUCUUGUCUCUAGCUUUGCUGGAGACUCGCCUUAAAGUAAUUGGCAGCCGGCCUACUGGUUUCGGAGCGCAGCACAAGUCGCACUCUCUAUCAGCAAAGGUCUAGCAUCCAUUAAGCCUUUUUUUCAACUUUUGACCUCGGAUCAGGUAGGGAUACCCGCUGAACUUA